GUCCUCAUUGGCUGGGAAGAGAGACAGCCUCCACCAAUGAGAAGGGCUUUGGCAAAGAUUCGUUCUCCGCUCGGGGCUCACAUCCCUACCAGACUUCCGGGUUCCCAGGGGCCUUGGACUAGAGAGAGUGAGAAAGAAUAGAGUAAUUCUGGAGCGGAAGGUCGUACAAGAUAAAGCUGCCCAAAAGGACUAUGAAGAUGAUCUGUGAAAACCCAAACCUGGAGAGAUUGAUCCUGAAAGGAAACCAGCCAUACCUAAUCCAACUGAGAUGACUGAAGACAAACUUGAAAUGCUAUUAGAAGCUUGAGCCUGUCUGGCAAACACACAUAGGAAAGCAAGAGAGAAACAAUUAGAAGCAAGACAUCUUGCUGCUUUUUAAAAGAAGAAACAUUCGAACAGCUAAAAAAAAAAGGAAAAAGAAGAGAGGAGUCAAUUAUAAUACAGAAAUGCCAUAAGGAAGAUUAAGAAGGCAAGUUUAGUUGGACAGUAGUGUGCAUAAAAAGGAGUAGCCUUUAUGUAUUAAGGCUGGAAACAUAAAAUGAGACUAAGUUGUGAAGGACUUUAAGUGCCCAACAGAAACUUAUAUUUGAUUCUACAGGUAUUAGGGAGUCCUAGAAUUAAUUGAGUAGGCAAGUGACAUGGUUAGACUUAUGAUUUAGAAAUGUAACAUCCACAGUUGUGUGGGGAAUAGAAUGGGUGACAGUCUCACCAUGAUGUGCUAUGUUUAGAAUAAAAUUAUAUUGAUCCCCUUUUGGUAGUGGAUUCCCUUUCACUGGAAAUAUUUGGAACCUAUAACCCAGAAAUACAACUCUGCCUAGAUAGGCUAGUUUAUUCUUGGGAAUCUUCUUAUGAAUCAUUCUCUUUAGCUCAUAUGCCACCAUGAAUGUAGCUAUAUUUUACCAGAAUGAGAUGAAAAUGAAAUGAAAAUAUCUUAUAAAUUCGAAAAUGUUAAGUAUUGUUAUUACUGUUAUUGUUAUUUUGCUGAAUAUUCCAGAUGUGGUCUGAGCACAGUGGAAUACAUUCCUACCUCUGAGUUACACA